AUUGAACGCUGGCGGAGUGCUUUACACAUGCAAGUCGAACGGCAGCACGGACUUCGGUCUGGUGGCGAGUGGCGAACGGGUGAGUAAUGUAUCGGAACGUGCCCAGUCGUGGGGGAUAACGUAGUGAAAAUUACGCUAAUACCGCAUACGAUCUAUGGAUGAAAGCGGGGGAUCGCAAGACCUCGCGCGAUUGGAGCGGCCGAUAUCAGAUUAGGUAGUUGGUGGGGUAAAGGCCCACCAAGCCAACGAUCUGUAGCUGGUCUGAGAGGACGACCAGCCACACUGGACCUGAGACACGGUCCAGACUCCUACGGGAGGCAGCAGUGGGGAAUUUUGGACAAUGGGCGAAAGCCUGAUCCAGCCAUUCCGCGUGCAGGAUGAAGGCCCUCGGGUUGUAAACUGCUUUUGUACAGAACGAAAAGGUUUCUACUAAUACUAGGAGCUCAUGACGGUACUGUAAGAAUAAGCACCGGCUAACUACGUGCCAGCAGCCGCCGUAA
rnacentral:rRNA from 1 species